UUGGCUCCAUUUUCCAAUUUCUGGAAUCUUUUUAUUAUAUAGAUUAAUGUUUUUAAAUGAAUUAAUGGAUGUAUCAUCGUCUCAGCGGUUAAAGUGUGUGUGUUAAGACUUUGUGUGUGCAAGAGGUCUGGGGUUUGAAUCCCCCUUGCCCCGGACCUAUUUUUUCAUUAUUUUUUUUACCUAUUUAUUUUUGUUAUUUUUUUAUAACUUUAAAGGCU
rnacentral:lncRNA from 1 species